CCAACCGGCCUGCCUCUCGAGUCACUGCCAUACUUUAAAAUCAAAGCCUGUCUGAAAAUCAAAUUCUACUUGACCUCCACUUACUAGCUCUCAGGCAGGUCUCCUUAAAACAAAACGCACCCUGAUAUGUCACCCUUGUGUUUUUGCAUCUUCUGCCGGGAGAACUUGAUCUCCUGGGAGCAGUUAGAGACCGGGCAAAAGUUCUGCCCUGGUCUCUACCAAGUGCUCUUUCUUGUAAAUCGGAAUUGCAGAAUAUUCCGCGAUUCUUAUUUGAAAGGAGCUGCAGAAAUCUUGAACAUUUCCCACCUUCGCCUAUCUCGUUUUUUGUUGUUGUUUUGGUUUUUUUUUUGAGAAAGAGAUCAAUCUCAAAUCUGAAUUUUGUUUUGUGUGUUGUUUUUUUCUCUUUAGCCGAAUUCUCAAAAAAUAAAGAGAUCGACUAUUUGGACGCUUUCCUUUGUGGCUGUGGUCUUUGGAUGACCUACCACCUGCUUGUCGGCUUAGGUUCUGUGAAAUAAUUUCUCCCAGUUGCAUGAAUGAAGCACAAGAUGAUUCACACAGAAGGGGGCGCAAACUGGAAAAGGCUGCAGUGAGUGGAUCUCAGAUGAGACAGCACAUUGUAGAUUAAAUCUGGGUUUGAACACUGUACAGGAAUUUAAGUGAGGGGCUCUUAUCAAAGUGCAGCCUAAAGUUUGUGGCAGCACAAGUGACUUUGAUAACUGUAUAAAAGCAGAUUAUUUCCCUGGGACACAGGUAGCCUUAAUGAUGUUUGAACACCUUGCCCUAACCAAGGGGUCAGUCUCUUUCUCUUUUAAUGUUAGGUUCAUUCAUGAAUUUAACUGAUUCUAUGUUUCUGUUUCUGUAUUUCUUAAGGAAAAAGAAGCUAAAGUUAUAAGCAACUAAAAUUUGAAGCCUGAAAUCCAGAAGUUGAAAAAAUAGAAAGCACUAGAAAUUGAGUUGCCAAGAACACCUCAAAUGAGCAAAUCAGAUUUUCCAAUAAAUAUUAGUUUUUCCAAUAUCUGGCAUUGUGCACUCAAAAUGAGGGUGAAAUGAGGAGACACAACUUGCUGAACUUGUAGGGAGAGGAGAAUCAGAGUGUGGAAAAGUAUGGAGUUUUAAAGAGCCUUUCCCCAAAGUCUUUAUUAGUGUAUUGGGUGCAUAGGCUAGAAAGUCCGUGCCUGUCUUUGCUGCCAACUAACCUUGUUGAAAUACACUCUCACUUUACUUAUUGGAAAGAAUCACUGCGAUAACUGAAGACAUAAUUAAGAAAUUCAUAUUUAUUCAUAGAGGCCUUUAUCAUGGCCACAAUCUUCCUACAUCAUAUGCAUUUUACCUCCUUUUUAAUCAUCUCAUAACCGAGCAAUUUAAAUAUAAAUCAAAUGAUUUGCAUUCUGUGUUUUUCCAGCGAAAUUUCCCUUUCUAAUUACUUACAACUUUCAUCUCUCUUCACUUCAAGGGGUUUCCUUUUUUUCUCCAAUGGCUUUUCCUGAAUCCUUAAAUCCUGUAUUCAUUGUUAGGAUUGAUUCCUUCUGCAGAAAACAUGUUGUUUUUGCUAGUGACCACAAGAGGACACAAUUUCCCAGAGAACUUUGUUUAAAAAAAAAAAAAGCUUGUGGAAGUGGAAAGCUAACAACAUAGCAAAAAUACUACACAAUCAACGAAUGUCGUUUUAGGGAUGUCUAGUUGAUUUAUGCCACUUUUAUUAAUUUUUGAAAACAAAAACAUGAGUUGGCAUUCAAGCUUUAGAUUUUUUUGGAAAAAUUAGUAUCUUUUUCUUUGUUGUAGAACAUAAAAGGAAAGCAUACAUGAAUGAAAGUAUACUAAAAUACCAUAUUAAGGGGAAGUGUUUAUUUUACAUUAGCAGAAUUUCAUACAAAACUCUUGCUGACCAGGAAUUUUAUUUUCUUAAGUUUAGAGUCAUGUUUGGCAAUGAAAACCAGUUUUUUAAAAAAUAUAUGAACAUUCCAAAAUGCUGUUGGAAGUUUGAAUUUUUAGUUUGGGCAUCUGGGAUGUCUUUACAUUAAAAAAUUACACUGCAA